UACGAAGGGUGCUAGCGUUGUUCGGAAUCACUGGGCGUAAAGAGCUCGUAGGCGGUCUGUCACGUCGGCUGUGAAAACCCGAGGCUCAACCUCGGGCCUGCAGUCGAUACGGGCAGACUAGAGUUCGGUAGGGGAGACUGGAAUUCCUGGUGUAGCGGUGAAAUGCGCAGAUAUCAGGAGGAACACCGAUGGCGAAGGCAGGUCUCUGGGCAGUA
rnacentral:rRNA from 1 species